rnacentral:misc_RNA from 1 species
GUGUCUAUUUAAUUUUUUGGGGGUAUUAUUUACAAAAUUGGAAAAGUUGUUUGUAUGAAAAAAAAUGAUAUUGGGUCGCGAAACCCAAUAACAAAAUUGCACAAAGGGGGUGUAGUUGUAAAACAGUGUUUUUUAUUUCACUGAUGAUCCUUCCGCAGGUUCACCUACGGAAA